rnacentral:misc_RNA from 1 species
GAUGAAGAACGUAGUGAAAUGCGAUACUUGGUGUGAAUUGCAGAAUCCCGUGAACCAUCGAGUCUUUGAACGCAAGUUGCGCCCGAAGCCACUAGGCCGAGGGCACGCCUGCCUGGGCGUCACACGCCGUUGCCCCCCCAUCUACUCCUUCGGGAUUGCGGGGGGGCGGAUGAUGGCCUCCCGUGCGCCUAGCCGCGCGGUUGGCAUAAAUACCAAGUCCUCGGCGACGCACGCCACGACAAUCGGUGGUUGCGAAACCUCGGUUGCCCGUCGUGUGCGUUCGUCGCGCAUCGAGGGCUCGAAAAAAUGCUCGGCUCCGGCUGGGCUUUCAACGCGACCCCAGGUCAGGUGGGGUUACCCGCUGAAUUUAAGCAUAUCAAUAAGCGGAGGA